rnacentral:rRNA from 1 species
GUCGAACGCUGGCGGCGUGCUUAACACAUGCAAGUCGAACGGAAAGGCCCCUUUGGGGGUACUCGAGUGGAGAACGGGUGAGUAACACGUGAGUAACCUGCCCUUGACUUCGGGAUAACUUCAGGAAACUGGGGCUAAUACCGGAUAGGAAUCCUUGCUGCAUGGGGGGGGUUGGAAAGCUUCGGCGGUUUUGGAUGGACUCGCGGCUUAUCAGCUUGUUGGUGGGGUAGUGGCUUACCAAGGCUUUGACGGGUAGCCGGCCUGAGAGGGCGACCGGCCACAUUGGGACUGAGAUACGGCCCAGACUCCUACGGGAGGCAGCAGUGGGGAAUAUUGCACAAUGGGCGGAAGCCUGAUGCAGCAACGCCGCGUGCGGGAUGACGGCCUUCGGGUUGUAAACCGCUUUCAGCAGGGACGAAGCUUUUGUGACGGUACCUGCAGAAGAAGCACCGGCUAACUACGUG